rnacentral:pre_miRNA from 1 species
UGGUGACUACGCGAUCAGAUGGAUUGCCUAAGAGAGACGCCUCUACAUGGACAGAUCGUCCCUGUAUCGAUGUCUCUCUUAGCCAAUCAUGCUCGUCGCGUAGGGCCA